rnacentral:rRNA from 1 species
GUGAACGCUGGCGGUAGGCCUAACACCUGCAAGUCGAACGGCAGCACAGUAAGAGCUUGCUCUUACGGGUGGCGAGUGGCGGACGGGUGAGGAAUACAUCGGAAUCUACUUUUUCGUGGGGGAUAACGUAGGGAAACUUACGCUAAUACCGCAUACGACCUACGGGUGAAAGCAGGGGAUCUUCGGACCUUGCGCGGUUGAAUGAGCCGAUGUCGGAUUAGCUAGUUGGCGGGGUAAAGGCCCACCAAGGCGACGAUCCGUAGCUGGUCUGAGAGGAUGAUCAGCCACACUGGAACUGAGACACGGUCCAGACUCCUACGGGAGGCAGCAGUGGGGAAUAUUGGACAAUGGGCGCAAGCCUGAUCCAGCCAUACCGCGUGGGUGAAGAAGGCCUUCGGGUUGUAAAGCCCUUUUGUUGGGAAAGAAAAGCAGCAGGUUAAUACCCCGCUGUUCUGACGGUACCCAAAGAAUAAGCACCGGCUAACUUCGUG